UACGUAGGGUGCAAGCGUUGUCCGGAUUUACUGGGCGUAAAGAGCGCGCAGGCGGUCAGAUAAGUCGAAUGUGAAAGCCCCCGGCUCAACUGGGGAGGGGCAUUCGAUACUGUUCGACUCGAAGGCAGGAGAGGGAAGUGGAAUUCCCGGUGUAGUGGUGAAAUGCGGAGAGAUGGGGGAGAACACUCGUGGCGAAGGCGGCCAGCUAGACCAGUUCUGACACUGAGGCGCGACAGCGUGGGGAGCAAACAGG
rnacentral:rRNA from 1 species